rnacentral:lncRNA from 1 species
CUAUGUUCAUGUAACACAAUUCACCUGAUCACAAACCGGUUCCAGAAUGUUCCAUUGUCUGCAUCAAUAAUCCAAGCAGAGAUGUGCUGAUUCAGAAAUGUAUCAGCUAUUAAGAUGGAGUGAGCCUUCAAAUUUUAAUAUCAAAAACCAAAAAACCAGUCCAAAUACAGAGAACAUUUUGGUUUGUGGAACUUCACAAAUGCAGCUUCGAAUUUGAAACUGGAAGAUCUGAUGGAAAGACAAGUACUAAAUGCUCAAGCUACUGCAUGAAGCCCUUUGACUCAAAGCACCAGUGAUCGAAGACAAGGUCCUGCCAUCCAAAAGGAUUGUGUACAUAGGGGAGAUUGAAAUUG